rnacentral:rRNA from 1 species
AAAUUGAAGAGUUUGAUCAUGGCUCAGAUUGAACGCUGGCGGCAGGCCUAACACAUGCAAGUCGAGCGGUAGCACAGAGAGCUUGCUCUCGGGUGACGAGCGGCGGACGGGUGAGUAAUGUCUGGGAAACUGCCUGAUGGAGGGGGAUAACUACUGGAAACGGUAGCUAAUACCGCAUAACGUCGCAAGACCAAAGUGGGGGACCUUCGGGCCUCAUGCCAUCAGAUGUGCCCAGAUGGGAUUAGCUAGUAGGUGGGGUAACGGCUCACCUAGGCGACGAUCCCUAGCUGGUCUGAGAGGAUGACCAGCCACACUGGAACUGAGACACGGUCCAGACUCCUACGGGAGGCAGCAGUGGGGAAUAUUGCACAAUGGGCGCAAGCCUGAUGCAGCCAUGCCGCGUGUGUGAAGAAGGCCUUCGGGUUGUAAAGCACUUUCAGCGGGGAGGAAGGCGAUAAGGUUAAUAACCUUGUCGAUUGACGUUACCCGCAGAAGAAGCACCGGCUAACUCCGUGCCAGCAGCCGCGGUAAUACGGAGGGUGCAAGCGUUAAUCGGAAUUACUGGGCGUAAAGCGCACGCAGGCGGUCUGUCAAGUCGGAUGUGAAAUCCCCGGGCUCAACCUGGGAACUGCAUUCGAAACUGGCAGGCUAGAGUCUUGUAGAGGGGGGUAGAAUUCUAGGUGUAGCGGUGAAAUGCGUAGAGAUCUGGAGGAAUACCGGUGGCGAAGGCGGCCCCCUGGACAAAGACUGACGCUCAGGUGCGAAAGCGUGGGGAGCAAACAGGAUUAGAUACCCUGGUAGUCCACGCCGUAAACGAUGUCGAUUUGGAGGUUGUGCCCUUGAGGCGUGGCUUCCGGAGCUAACGCGUUAAAUCGACCGCCUGGGGAGUACGGCCGCAAGGUUAAAACUCAAAUGAAUUGACGGGGGCCCGCACAAGCGGUGGAGCAUGUGGUUUAAUUCGAUGCAACGCGAAGAACCUUACCUGGUCUUGACAUCCACAGAACUUAGCAGAGAUGCUUUGGUGCCUUCGGGAACUGUGAGACAGGUGCUGCAUGGCUGUCGUCAGCUCGUGUUGUGAAAUGUUGGGUUAAGUCCCGCAACGAGCGCAACCCUUAUCCUUUGUUGCCAGCGGUUAGGCCGGGAACUCAAAGGAGACUGCCAGUGAUAAACUGGAGGAAGGUGGGGAUGACGUCAAGUCAUCAUGGCCCUUACGACCAGGGCUACACACGUGCUACAAUGGCAUAUACAAAGAGAAGCGACCUCGCGAGAGCAAGCGGACCUCAUAAAGUAUGUCGUAGUCCGGAUUGGAGUCUGCAACUCGACUCCAUGAAGUCGGAAUCGCUAGUAAUCGUAGAUCAGAAUGCUACGGUGAAUACGUUCCCGGGCCUUGUACACACCGCCCGUCACACCAUGGGAGUGGGUUGCAAAAGAAGUAGGUAGCUUAACCUUCGGGAGGGCGCUUACCACUUUGUGAUUCAUGACUGGGGUGAAGUCGUAACAAGGUAACCGUAGGGGAACCUGCGGUUGGAUCACCUCCUUA